GCCAUUUUGCUAGUAUAAAAUAUAGUAGUACAAAAUAUUUUACAGGAAAAUUUUCAAUGGGAUCCAAUCCUAUGAAUCAAAGGACCAAGGUAGGAAAAAUUCUUAAGGAUUUCAAUCCUCCAAAACCACUAUAGAAUUCGUUUGAAUCAAAGGAGCCCUCAGUUUUCUAUUUAGACAACCUAGACACCUCAAUCCUCUACGCAACUUAUGUUCCUUCUUUAUUGGGUCUGUCAUUGUCAGAUUCUAGCCACACAUCACGUUUAUUUUCCAAGAAGCUUGUUCGUUGUCUAUGUGGGAACAUAUAUAAAUUGGUGGAAUCCGGUGUAAAUUAGCGAGGUGGUACCAUUGUUCAAUAAGAAGUAUUUUUUAAUAGAACCAAAAGGUGUCCCAAUGGCCCAAUAGGGAGAAUCGUAGAUAUGGCCCAAAAAACAAUAAUAUGGUACCAUUGUUCAAUAACAACCUCGUUUAUUUUUUUACAACUGGUUGUGCCCCGAUUUUUCUGAGAGAGAUUAUCUUCUUUACGUAUUUUUCGAUCGAGAAGCGGGAUUGUUUCUUUGAUUUUUUUGUGACAUUUAUUCCUCGUCCACUAAUUGGUGCUUCUACCUUCUCGCAUUCAUUGCACCCGAUCCCUCUCCUCCUUCCUCGCCAGAUCCACUUCGUCUCGCGGGAGUUUCCUGGCCAAGCUAUCCGAUCGAGGGUAGCAAUGGCGGCAGGGGAAGCAAGGAUUGUGCAGGUUGCAAGCGGAGAUGUGUAGAAGCUGGCGCGACA
rnacentral:lncRNA from 1 species